rnacentral:rRNA from 1 species
UACAGAGGUCCCAAGCGUUGUUCGGAUUCACUGGGCGUAAAGGGUGCGUAGGCGGUCGGGUAAGUCUGACGUGAAAUCUCCAAGCCUAACUUGGAAACUGCGUUGGAUACUAUCCGGCUCGAGGAAUGGAGGGGAGACUGGAAUACUCGGUGUAGCAGUGAAAUGCGUAGAUAUCAAGUGGAACACCAGUGGCGAAGGCGAGUCUCUGGACAUUUCCUGACGCUGAGGCACGAAAGCCAGGGGAGCAAACGGG